rnacentral:lncRNA from 1 species
UUGAAUACAUCAAAUGCUCUGCGUGCAGUAUCUUUGUUGGCAGCUAAUAUCAAAUUAUAUAAAGCAUCUUUUCCGCAGUUCAAACUACCAUCAGAAACAGGUCGAGAACAACGGGCGGUCAGCUGGAAGCUCUCCCCGCAGGUAAGUGUGUCCCUUGCCGUAUCCUCCCUUGCCAUAUCCUCACUAAAACUGCACACUUCCACAUUAUUACUCAAGGACUUACUGUCAUCUGAAAUCAAUAUUCCACCAACAUGUUUCAUGGCACCAAUAGGUGCCACGUCUUUCUCUGAGGGUAAUUCAACAAACUUUGAAGUUGCACUGCCUGGACUAUCAAUGUCCUCAGCUUUCACCUCAGUAUGCUCCUUUUCCUGUAUAUUAGUCCCUUCCUCUCCAAUUACAUCUUCGGGUAUAACAACUUGCAAUGGAGCAGGUCUAGAAGCUAUAUUAGUAGUGCCUCGAUCUUCAUGAGAGUUUGAGUUGCACUCUUUUUGUGGAGAACAGGACCCAGAUGGAACAAGCUGGGUAUAUUCAGGUUCAGAUAUCAAUGUUUUCAGUUCAUUCUCAAGUGAAUCAAUCUCAACUUCAGUUUUUUCUAGCACCUUUGAAAUAUCGUUCUUCCAAGUUAGCAACUUGUUCACUGCCGUUGAUCUCAUAAAACCAGAGUCCACAGAACUUGAGUCCUCAGAUUGUAGCAAUUCAUUGAUUGAAGAGUUCAAAUUGGAGAUUUGUGAAAGAUCAAAAUUCUCUAAGUUAAAAGCAAAUUCCUCAGAGUGAUACUGGGAGAUGAUACUGGGGGAGCCACAUAAAUUACCAACAUCCUGGUCAAUGUUUGUUGCCUUGAUAGGUUGUUUAUCCUCAAGACCUGUUAUUAUCAUAUCAUGGGGCAAAAAUGUGAAUUAGAUGCUAAUGUCAAUGUUUGUUGCCUUGACAGGUUGCUUAUCCUCAAGACCUGUUAUUAUCGUAUCAUGGGGCAAACUGUGAAUUAGAUGCUAAUUCUCUCAGCCAAACGUAAACAAUGUGUGAAUAAUUUUCAUCUUUCUUAACCUCUUGUACUUAAAAAGGUUAACUAGUCUCAUUAUCUAGUAUUCAACUGCAAAACCAUAAUAUCAUGUCAACCCACUUAAAAAAGAAAAUACAGGGACAGAAAUAAAAAGGCAAGCCUAUGUCUACGGAAGACAAGACAAAGAACAUAUGAAUUUUCUCUAAUAAAUGGAGUCAGAGAAAGGAGAUUCUAGGAAGGAUUCCGCUCCGAAACCAUAAUAAAGAUAAGAAACAUAGAUAAUCUUGAUCCUUCAGCAAACCAACGAAUGGGAGCAAUACAAGCUAAAUCUUUCUUGACUACUACAAAAGCUCCACAAAGAGUAUCAAAUCUUUCAAGACAGGGAUAUGCAGUAGUCAUGAUGCAAAGUAUAUGCUCCCACACCAAACAAAUGUUAUAAGUUAGUGAGCCGCUACACAUAUUGGGUCUGUGGAGAAGCCAAAAAUAACAGAAAGAGCUGAAGUAUCAAGCAAUAGAUAGUGGGAUUUGUUGAAUUAGGAGCAAAUAAAAUAACUCUAUCAUUUCAGUAACUAGCAAAUUUGUGAAACUUGCCGUUUAAUGUAGUCAAAAAGGUGAAGAUUGCAUUACAUAUUAUGCCUGCAAAUGAAAGUUUGAUGAUUUUGAAUCAAAUCAGAAAUCCAUGACCUUCACCUAUCCAAUUAAAUUUUGAAAGUGGGGAUAUUACACUUAAAUCGAACCACAUAAUCAUUUCCGAAGUAUAACUCUUCAGCAUUCAAAUUAAGACUGAAAAUGUGUCCAAGACGCUAGAAUAAAGACAAACAGAUCAAAGAAAAAGCUUAAGUACAGUUCCUGACAGUUUAGACCCUUUAACACACAAACAACUACUUUGAUCCCAUCGUUUCCAGUGUGCUUCUUUCUUUCUCUUGAAUAAGGUUAAUGUAUAGUUUCCAGUGUUCUUUUCCCAUCAAUUAUUUUUUUUGAGCAUUCUUUUUAUAUUUUGGCAAUUUGCCUAUUUAACAGCAUUACAAUAAGGAAUUACUUGAGAAUAAUACCUGGGGAAGAACUACAAGCAACUGACGAAGGUGUGGUAGGAGAGGGACAAUCCAGAGAAACAGCAACCCUUGGGCUUUUAUCUGCCGUGUUCAAGGGGUGAGGAUGACCAGGUUCCACACUAUCACCAGAGAUACAAGCUCCCACCUUAGCAGCACUAUCCUCGGGGACUUUCUUCUUCUCAUAGUGUUUAAGGGGUGAGGAUGACCAGGUUCCACACUAUCACCAGAGAUACAAGCUCCAACCUUAGCAGCACUAUCCUCGGGGACUUUCUUCUUCUCAUACUUGGCCAGUCCUUCACCCCAACCAAGGCGCGGCUUCUUCCGGGAAGAAGUCUCUUCAGAAGGGGCAGCAGA